AGUGAACGCUGGCGGUAGGCCUAACACAUGCAAGUCGAACGGCAGCACAGUAAGAGCUUGCUCUUACGGGUGGCGAGUGGCGGACGGGUGAGGAAUACAUCGGAAUCUACUUUUUCGUGGGGGAUAACGUAGGGAAACUUACGCUAAUACCGCAUACGACCUACGGGUGAAAGCAGGGGAUCUUCGGACCUUGCGCGAUUGACUGAGCCGAUGUCGGAUUAGCUAGUUGGCGGGGUAAAGGCCCACCAAGGCGACGAUCCGUACCUGGUCUGAGAGGAUGAUCGGCCACACUGGAACUAGGACACGGUCCAGACUCCUACGGGAGGCAGCAGUGGGGAAUAUUGGACAAAGGGCGCAAGCCUGAUCCAGCCAUACCGCGUGGGUGAAGAAGGCCUUCGGGUUGUAAAGCCCUUUUGUUGGGAAAGAAAAGCAGCAGGUUAAUACCCCGCUGUUCUGACGGUACCCAAAGAAUAAGCACCGGCUAACUUCGUG
rnacentral:rRNA from 1 species